rnacentral:rRNA from 1 species
AUACGGAAGGUGCAAGCGUUAAUCGGAAUCACUGGGCGUAAAGCGCUCGUAGGUGGCUUUGUAAGUCAGGUGUGAAAGCCCACGGCUCAACCGUGGAAUUGCACUUGAUACUGCAUUGCUUGAGUUCGGGAGAGGGUAGUGGAAUUCCAGGUGUAGGAGUGAAAUCCGUAGAGAUUGGGAGGAACACCAGUGGCGAAGGCGGCUUUCUGGACAGUAACUGACGCUGAGGCGCGAAAGCGUGGGGAGC